AGAGCGAACGCUGGCGGCAGGCCUAACACAUGCAAGUCGAGCGCCCGUAGCAAUACGGGAGCGGCAGACGGGAUAGUAACACGUGGGAACGCGCCCUUCGGUUCGGAAUAACUCAGGGAAACUUGAGCUAAUACCGGAUACGCCCUUACGGGGAAAGAUUUAUCGCCGAAAGAUCGGCCCGCGUCUGAUUAGCUAGUUGGUGAGGUAAUGGCUCACCAAGGCGACGAUCAGUAGCUGGUCUGAGAGGAUGAUCAGCCACAUUGGGACUGAGACACGGCCCAAACUCCUACGGGAGGCAGCAGUGGGAAUAUUGGACAAUGGGCGCAAGCCUGAUCCAGCCAUGCCGCGUGAGUGAUGACGGCCUUAGGGUUGUAAAGCUCUUUCGCUCGGGACGAUAAUGACGGUACCGAGAUAAGAAGCCCCGGCUAACUUCGCGCCAGCAGCCGC
rnacentral:rRNA from 1 species